rnacentral:rRNA from 1 species
AACGAACGCUGGCGGCAGGCCUAACACAUGCAAGUCGAACGCGCGUAGCAAUACGCGAGUGGCGCACGGGUGAGUAAUACGUGGGAACCAACCCAGAGGUUCGGAAUAACCGCGGGAAACUGCGGCUAAUACCGGAUGUCCCCCAAGGGGGAAAGAUUUAUCGCCUUUGGACGGGCCCACGUCCGAUUAGCUUGUUGGUGAGGUAACGGCUCAUCAAGGCAACGAUCGGUAGCUGGCCUGAGAGGACGACCAGCCACACUGGAACUGAGACACGGUCCAGACUCCUACGGGAGGCAGCAGUGGGGAAUAUUGGGCAAUGGAGGCAACUCUGACCCAGCCAUGCCGCGUGGGUGACGAAGGUCUUCGGAUUGUAAAGCCCUUUCGGCGGGGACGAUGAUGGCGGUACCCGCAGAAGAAGCCCCGGCUAACUUCGUGCCAGCCGCCGCAGUAAGAC